CUGUGGCUGCUGCUGCUGUAUGGCCUGCACCGCUUUAGUGAGGUCUCUAACCUGCUGAACCAGUAGGUCGAAUUGCUCCGCGCCAACCGCCGUUGCCAGAGGAGGAGGAAGAGCCUGGAAAACUGGAGGUGAGACCAGAGCCUGAGAUCUGGCCGUGGAGGUCGUAGAUCACUGAGUGGAUGCUUUGCGGGGAGGCAUCGGGC
rnacentral:lncRNA from 1 species